rnacentral:sRNA from 1 species
AGUGAGGGGGGGUGACUAGUGAGGGAGGGGGUGACUAGUGACAGAAUGAGGGAGGGGGUGACUAGUGACAGCGGGAGGGAGAUGGUGACUGUCACUAGUCACCCCAUCCCUCCCUCUGUCACUAGUCACUCCCUCCCUAACUCUGUCACUAGUCAUCCCCUCCCUCACUCUGUCACCAGUCACCCCAUCCCUCCCUCUGUCACUAGUCACUCCCUCCCUAACU